CACCAGGCAGGAAAACAUGGAAAAUGAGGAGCCGAUUAUGCAGUGAUCUCCCCAGGCAUCGAGGGCAUGUCCUCCUCCACUUGGUGAGGGUGAGUCCUCCCUGACCUGGUGAGGGUGAGCCCUCCCCCACCUGGUGAAGACUAAAGACUGAAGUCGGAGGAAUACAUCGUAAAUAAGCAAGCAGAAUGGGACCCAUUGCAAAAAGCACAUCUGUCCGAGAUCACCACACAGAAGUGCAUUGUGUGGGCUCAGAGGGACUCAGCAGCAGCUGAAGGGGAUGCUCUGCCUUUGAGAGAAAGAGAUGAAUGAAAAGAGAAGCCAACGUGCUGUGAGAAACGUCAAAAGCUGGAUGUUAGCCGUAACCCACAUCCUAGAGAAGCAUACUGUAUGCUCUCUAGGUGGGGUCACCCACAUUCUACCGUGAAAGGAGCCUUGUUUCCCCUUUGGACUUCUUAUUCUGCUUUCCAACAGCAGUAAAACCCAAUGCCAGAGCUGGGCAGAUGUACAUGUGGACUUGCUGAUGUCACUUUGCUGUGUUGUCUACUGGGAGGAACAGAGUAAGGCUUCUGUCACAUAGAAUUUUACCAGAAAACUGAAUACAAGACCCCGUGCACGCUCACGAGGCUCUCUACUACUGAGAUAUAUUGUAAGCAACAAUUUAUCUUCUGAAAGCAGCACACUACACAAAAAAGCCUUCCAAUUAUAAAACAGAGAAAGAAAAGGAGAAAAGCAAAGUAUAUACAUGUGAAAGCUUACAAGUGGCUGUACAUCGAGAGAAUGAAUGGAAAACGUAUCCAGCAGAGUCCCCAUAUCUAAGAGACACCCUGAAAAUAGUAAUGGAAGACAGAAAUGACAAGCUUCAGGGACAUCCAUCUCUUGUAGUGUCACCACAAACUCAUCACGGAGAUGGCUGCAAGAAUCUUGGAUGCCAGAAAAAAAAAAAUGUUGGAGGAAGAAUUAGACUGUUGGUUCUAAUGAAAUCUAUCUGAGGAAACCCGAGGCAUCUCAAGUAUCCAGAAGGGAUCGCUCUGAGUCACCAGUGUCUCAGCAGAACUGUGACUCACUGCAGCUUAAGGAAGGAAUGACCAUAACCUGGACAUAUUUGAACAAUUUUCAAAACUAUAUGUGUGUGUGUGUGUGUGUGUGUGUGUGUGUGUGUGUGUGUGUGUGUGUGUUCAACCUUAUUCUAGUUGUAAUUGCUAUGGGAAUUUACUUUAGUAUUUUAGGUUGAUAGCUAUAAGAUUCUGGGAGAGAUCAAUUAUGAUAAAACAGACUUAUUUGCUUUAAGGAAUUAAUUGGUUUUCUUGGUUAGAAUUUGUUGUCUUUUGUCCUUACUUAUCCAUAGGAGGAAUAAGCUUUCCUACUGUGGGAAAGACUGAGUUUCUAUCCAAGAUGGGCCUUUUAAGUCUUUGGUAAUAGCUAACUAAUGGCAAGGAAGAUCCCUUGAAGAUGCUGCUCAUGACCUCUUGACUCUAGGCAUCUUCCACAAUCUCUUGUGAGAUACUAAUUCAUUUGGAUUAUAACCAUAAAAACAGGCAUAUGUUUUUAAAUCAUACAAUACUUAAAUUAUAUAAUGCCAUACCUCAUAGGAGAAAUAAAGUAAUUUAAUCUUAAAGGACUAUUUGGUAUUAAUGUACUACAUUUCUUCAACUGGAAUAUCAUGUUCCCUACAGUCCCAGAUAUUAAAGGCUUGGUCCUUGAUAUGGCAUCAUUGAUACAUAGAAGACCUUGCAAAAAGUGGAACUAGUGGAAAGUGUAUGAUUCACUGGGGGAGUACCUUUAACAGGAAUAGUGGGCUAUUUCUCCUUCUGUUACAGGUUGUGAACCAAAGGAGUUUUGCUCUGCUUCAUGCAAACACUGCACUGUACUUCCUCACUGUUGACCCAAGAGCAUUGAGGCCAACAAAUCAUGAACCAAGACCUCCAAACCUGAGCCAGAACAAUCCAACCUCUUCUCCUUACACAUUCCUUAUCUCAAAUAUUUGUUGUAACAAUCGAAAGACAACUGCUACAUAGGAGUUCUGGAAGAGUUAACCAUCACUAGUGUAUUCGUUAGACACACAUGUACACACAUGCAUCUUCACACAUACACGUAUUCAUGCACACACAAACAUGCAUCUGCAGAAUACACAUACACAUGCAUACACACACAGAUGCAUGCACACUCACAUGCAUCCGUGCACACACACACACAGGUACACACACAUGCACAUGCAUGCACACAGACAGAGACACAUAUGUACAUUACUAGCCACAGGAAAAUGCUUCCUUGGGGUUUUAAUCAUUUAAUGGCCUUGAAAGUCUGUUUGAAAUAGUUCUUGGCUAUUUAUUGCGGGUGUCUCCAAACAACUACUGUGUCCCCCAUGGUCGUUAAUAUUCUUCCCCAAAGCUGCAUCUGUCAGAAAUGGUGAAAUGUGAUCCAGCAUAAAUAGGAUGAGGUAUUUCCAUUGGUUCUUGUGGUCUACCACAGCUCGCUUAAGCUCCCAAGGGGGAGACAGAGGUCCUGUUCAUCACACAUGGAAACUUUCUAGACUGUAAGUGUCAAACCAGGAGCAGAGAUGCCUGCGGGUUUCAAAGGAAAACUAAAUAAACAGCUGAUUCUUUUAUCUUCUUUUCUUUUCUAGCACACAUUCAUUCUACCAUAUCCUCAUUUAAAUUUCACUCUCUCACCUUUGUUUGAACUAAAGCUUGUGCUCACUUUGAGCCAAUAAAAACUACAAGAAGGAAACAUCUGCACGGCUGUGUAACCAAUCCUACAAUUAUCAGCAACGUGACAAUCUUAUUAAAGAUCACACAGGACAUUUGCAGAAUUUGUUUUCAAGACACAAUGAGUAAUGCACUACCACUAGUUUACAUAUAUAUAUGAACAUAAUAAAGUUGAACCUAAUUUAUAUUUAUGUUAACUUAUAUUUUACAUUUUAAAUAUAUAUUAUUCCAUGACAUUUGAUCUAGGAAACAAAUAAAAAAUAUAGACAUGCCAUCUAGAUUUAAUUUAAAACAAUUGAUAACUAAUAGAAUUGACCCAGGGUCCCAGCAAAUGCCUUACACAAAUUAUUGCAUUAGAAAAUACUGUUGAGUCCUAAGUGUGAGCUGCUCAGGAAACUCCUAUUACCUUCCUUGUGAAUAGGAAUUUUCAAUGAUAUACAAGGUUUCUGGAAAAGUAAUUCCAGAAACAAAGUUUUCAUGUUUUGAAGAGAAAUUCUAUUUCUAAGAAUACAAUUUAAGUAAAGAAUUAGAUCUUUGCACAAUGAUUCAGCUACAAAAAGUUCUUAGGAAUUGUGAUUAAAUAAAUUGCCCCAAUGGAUGUUCUUAGUCAGUGUACAGAGACUGAAACACCUUUCACUUGGUGACUUGUAGGCAUUCUCUCGUGGUCUUCUGGGGGCUGGAGAGAUGUCUCAGCAGUUAAGAGCACUAGCUACUCUUUCAGAGGACUGAGGUUCAGUUCUCAGUACUGAGGUGAUGGAAAAGGACUGUCUGUAAUGCCAGUCCAGGGGUUCUGAUAUCCUCUUCUGGCUUUCUUGGGUACUGGGCACACGUGUUAUACAGACCUAUGAGCAUAAAAAUACCCAUAAAUAUAAAAUAAAAACAAAUCAUUAAAAAAAAAGUUCUGACCAAUGUGAAAGAAGUCAGGCAGAGGCGUGGGUUUUUGUUGAGCCUCUAAGUACAGAGAUUAUAUCUGCUCGUGUUUCCUUAGUCAGACAACCAUAGGCCCCAUAACAGCUGGGGAAUGCACUUCAUCUUUGUUCUUAGGCAACAGAAGAGACAGAGUUUGGUGAGCACCUCACAGUCUGUCUAUCAAACUAUGAUCAUUAAUAUAUUUCAAACUAACUUUCAAUAAAUCUGCCCAGCAGAAGACUGGGGAGUUAUGAAGCCAAACAAGCAAACAAACAAAAGGAUAGUUGAAUAAAUAAAAAGAUGUUCUGGGCACACUGAGGGAAAGCUGUCAUUGAAAGCCAUGGUCUGGGCCCACAUUUCUAGUUGCUAAAUGACCAUGACUUAUGAAAACAUAAAAUGCUGUCAUCUCUCAGCUGUCACACUUCCUGGUUUCCCAAACUUCCCUUGGUAUUUUCCCUCUUGUUUGCUUAAUAAGGGAAGCAUGACAUGAAGAAAAAGUUAUGCUAUGGAAUAGGAUAGGUUCCAUUUAUCAGCCAGAUUAAUUUUCUUUUAUUUUAAAAAAAUGUGGGAUUGCCCUACUUUUUAUUUUACUAAAUAGAUCAGUUGAAAUAACUUAUGAAACAGACUCUGAAGCAUAUGUGAUGUAGAGAAUGGGCUCUAACAAGCACAAAUGGUACAGGGACACCAAUUGUUUUUUUAAUGGCAUCGCAUAGCACGAUAGAUUAUUCCAAUGGGCAUUAUUUGCUGGAAGCAGACUCAGCUGGGUUCCAGUUUAUACCAGUGCUUCUCAGCCUACAACACUUCACUGUUUCUUCUGGGUUUCUUGUAAAAUCCUGCAUCUUCUCAGAAACUUCUCAAAGUAUAUAUUAUGAGCAAGGGAUAUUUAUUCCAAAUUUCUAAAUAAAUAUUUAACUUUAACUUUAAUUAUAUUUGACAUUGGGCAGUGUUUCCUUUCCUGGUUAAACACCAGGAGCUGCCUUUAAAACUAAGAAAGUACAUUUUGUCGGACACAGUGGCUGCUUCCCAUCCAGGCAUCUUGUCUUCUGCAUCUCAUCACUGACAGAGUCUGCCUCGUUCUGUAUGCCCUGAAAAUGUCAGUCUCUGCUUGUUUGAGUAUCUAUAGUGCAGACACAGGGUCUAGAGGGUGACCAGAGGAGAAACCUAGAGAGCAGGUCUCAGAAAGGUCUUUCUCCUCACUGUGAGUUAGCUGUGGUCUCAGGACCCUAAGCAUCCUUGUAUCCAAGCCAUUAGGGGAUGGUUUUGUGGUUUCUUUUAUUUAGAGAUGGCAUCUAUUUUUCUGCCUCCUGAGUCUAGGCUGAUUUCCUGAUCUAACCAGAGCAAUAGAGUAUAGCAGAAGUGGUAGUGUUCUGUGUUGAAGCCUUGCCACAAGAAACCUUGAGCUGCGAAGAUUACAGAGUGAUGGAGAAGGGAGCUUGCCAGGCCCCGUCCCCACCAAAGCAUCCAUUUAACUGGUGAAAAAAAUUAAUAGGAAAAUGAAAUUAAGAACUAGGUAAAGUUACCAUUUAUUGACCUAAGAACAUAUAUCAAGUGGAAAAUCUACUAAAUCAGUAUAAAUACUAAGACGCUGUGUCCUACUCUGAUACUUUGGAACACUUUGCGGAAACACUGUUCCUCUAAGGCAGUAACAUCUUCAAGGACCACUAUAACUUAAUUGUAUUGCGGGAUUGAGUAACCCUUAGAACUAUCUAGUUCCUGAUUUCUUGUUGCAUCUUGUUGAGUCAUUGGCUUAAUGAUUCAUGACUGACAUAUUUCACUUUUGCAAACUCUAACAUUUUUAUGGUUCUCUGUAUAAACUGAUCCAUAGCAAACAAAGAAACCAUGUAGUAUAACAAUUUCUCCUGCUGUAUUUUUUUUCUAGAGAGUUGCCUUUACCCACCUGCUGCUUCACCCUAUCAUCAUUUCUCUGUCCAGUCACCCUCUGUUUACAUGUUUUUGCCACUAUUAUGUAUGAUACAUCCUGAUUCAUUAUAAUGAAUAAAUAUGUUAUAAUAUUUAUAUAA
ensembl:antisense Gm15581 predicted gene 15581